UAUAGGUUUUAUUAUGUACAUGUGUAUCUCUGAAUAUUUAUCACAGAUGAGAAAUCAAUAGAAAUGUCAGCAAGCGGAUCUUUCCAGUUCUAUAAGAGAAGUUCAUAAUUGGCCAGUUUUCCAAGGAAGUGUCCAAAGCCAAAGCAUUCCUUGAAGGUUCACAUGUGGGGAGGCAUCAGUUAUCAGGGACCAACACGCUGUUGUGUUUUCACUGGCAUAAUGGACUCCGUUUCAUACCAGCAAAUCUUGAAAUCAAGUCACUUGCCAUUGGCCAACAGAAAAUAUAUAUAAAUGGAUUUCGACUUUAUCAGGAUAAUGACGCCAAACACACCAGUCGAUCAACUAUUUAGUGGUUGAAUGAUCACAAAGUGAAGACUAUGCCUGCACCAGCAUCGAGUCCGGACCUGAAUCCUAUAGAGAAUGUUUGGGCAACAUUGAAGGAUUAUUUAAAGCGACAAGUGAAGCCCAGAACAAAGGCUCAACUUGUCCAUGGAAUAACAGAGUUUUGGAACAACCUAACAGCGGAAGACUGUGCAAAAUACAUAGACCAUAUUCACAGAGUCUUACCACAUGUUGUUCUAAAUGAAAGUGGACCAUCAGGAUUUUAGUGAGGUGGAUCAUUAAAAAAUCAAGGACUCCAACACAAUGCAUAUACAGUGUAUAUGUGACCAAUGUUGUACUGAAUAGUUUACUGACAUUUAGGUUAGCAGGGCCGAAAUUGGUGUAAAGACAGUGAAGCGUCUCCUUAUGGAUAACACAACUUUCACUGGUGACAUAAACACAGAUGCCUCCCAGCGUGCAAUGCUUCAGUACAGAAACACACCAAAGCAAACUCUCUCCAGCCAUGUGCAUAUUUGGCCGUCCCAUUCGAGACUUCAUAAUAAUUCCACCUGGAAAGUAUAAACCUCAUGAAACUUGGUUAAGCACAUCACUGGCCCCUGAAGAAGCCUUGCUAAACAGGCACAUGCGUUGUGCAGAAAAACUGUUAGAGCACACUCAGAGAUUACCACCUCUAGCUGUGGGAGAUAAUGUUCGCCUGCAAAACCAAAUUGGACUCAAUCCUCUCAAGUGGGACAAGACUGGAGUGGUAAUUGAAGUUCGCCAAUUUACCAGUAUGUGGUACGACUUGAUGGCUCAAGACGGGUAGCACUUCGCAAUAAGAAGUUCCUACGGAACUAUAUCCCCGUUCAACUACCACCACGACGGCUGUCCAUUGAUAGUGACCUAGCACUCAGACUACCUGCAGCUACAACUGAAAAUCCCACAGCACACUCCAUCACACCAGCAGUGACCACAACACAUGCAACCAGAUCCACGCCGGCUGCAACCAACACUGGGAUCCCAACACACUCUGCUCCUCACCCUACUGUGUCACCCGGUACGGUAACGCCAAGCAGCAGUGAGACACCCAGCCGAGGUAACCUGCUGCAGAGUCGUCAUCAGCUAGCCUAUACUGAGCCUCCGAGUCCUGACAGUCGACCAGUAAACAUUUUCCGUGGACACAGGACCAAGUCGCGAGACACAAAACCGCAUGAUACCCCCGCAGACGGACCUGUUGUGCACUCCAGUCAGACGAUCAGGAAGAACUAGAAUUGCCUCAGAGUGGCAGAAAGACUAUGUCAUGUGAUUGUUGACAAAGACUCGUAUAUUUGACCACAUAAAAGACAUUUGUUUUUGUUUUUUUUGUUGUUGUUUUAAAGUUCAAACUUCUUCUUACUUUAUAAGGGAGUAGACCUAGUGGGCUCAAAUGUUCCCAGUUUUAUUGUUAUCAGUCUUUGUUUCAACUUCAAUUUAAGUGUCAUAUUAUUUCAUAUGCAUAUUUCAUACCCAAAGACUUGUGGGGAGAUAGAGGAUAGUAUAGCAUCAUUUCUCUAAUUAUCAUUUUAUAGAUCUAAUUGUCAUCAUUGUUAAUUUCAGAUCUUGAUCAUUGUCGAUGGAAAUAAAG